rnacentral:rRNA from 1 species
AACCGCUUUGUUCGGGAAGAAAUCCUUGGGCUAAUACCCCGGGGGGAUGACGGUACCGGCAAGAAUAAGCACCGGCUAAUACGUGCCAGCAGCCGCGGUAAUACGUAGGGUGCGAGCGUUAAUCGGAAUUACUGGGCUAAAGCGUGCGCAGGCGGUUGUGCAAGACAGAUGUGAAAUCCCCGGGCUUAACCUGGGACUGCAUUUGUGACUGCACGGCUAGAGUGCGGCAGAGGGGAGUGGAAUUCCAAGU